AAUUUUUAAUGCAAAAAAGAAUUUUAAACCUACUCUUGAGGCGAAACGCGAAAUGGAUCAGCCAGAAAGGUGACCGUGUUUCUGGUCGACGGAUUAAUUGAAACUGUAUAUCAACGAAGUUUUCAGAGAAGGACAGCAAUAGUUGCCAAUAGUAGUUGUCACAGUCGAGGAGAUACAAAUUGAAUCUCGAAGCCAGAGAGAAUUAGGUCGGACCUUAUGAUAGUCACUUUGUGCUAGCGAUGAAAUAAUCUAGUUACCAAUAGUUCAAAUACCCUUGAUUGGCUUCUAUUAACCUCACACCGUUGCACAACUCCGGGCAAGUGAAAUCGACAAUUGGAAGACGUGUACACGAAGUGCUUUGGCAUGGCAUGUCACAUAGUGUGUUGGAUAUCUUGCGGAUACAUGUAACACGAAGAAAAAGCGUUCAUUGGAGCGCAUGGCGUGGCCAUCGCCCCGAUUUAUGAGCCAACCCACGUCACAAGCUGCUGGGAUGGGAGGCUGGUAGCUCGGGGAUCCGGUGGAUUGGACACGCUGAGCGAUGGCUCCACAUCAGCGCCCACAAAACAACCAGCGACACUUUCAAUCGUGCCCCUCAAACUCGGAUUCGGACUCAGAUUCGUGCGCGGUCAGUAGAUUAAAACGGGACAGGAAGAUGCACAGUGGAAAAUACAUAGAUAUUUGUCUAAUUUAUUAAAUGACACAACUUUAUUUUACUGUGACUUACUUUAAAAUUUGUUAUUAUUUUAAAAAUAGGUUAAACUAGAAAGGAAGUUAACUGCGGCAGUUCUUUAUGAUCAAAUACAACGAAGAUAAGAUUUUCGUUAACCAACACACAUUUUCUUUUUGAAAAGUUUCCCAAAAUCUUCUUUGGGGAUUGGAUAAUGAUUUUGACAAAUGAGGUAUCAAUAUAUUAUGUUUUGUUCUUUAUGUCCAC